GGCGUAGGGGGCCAGCGUUGUUCGGAAUUACUGGGUGUAAAGGGUUCGUAGGCGGUGCGGCAAGUCGGGAGUGAAAUCUCUGGGCUUAACCCAGAGGCUGCUUCCGAAACUGCUGUGCUUGAGUGUGGGAGAGGCGCGUGGAAUUGCAGGUGUAGCGGUGAAAUGCGUAGAUAUCUGCAGGAACACCCGUGGCGAAAGCGGCGCGCUGGACCACUACUGACGCUGAGGAACGAAAGCUAGGGGAGCAAACAGG
rnacentral:rRNA from 1 species